rnacentral:rRNA from 1 species
ACUAAGUUUCAACAACGGAUCUCUUGGCUCUCGCAUCGAUGAAGAACGCGGCGAAAUGCGAUAAGUAAUGUGAAUUGCAGAAUUCAGUGAAUCAUCGAAUCUUUGAACGCACCUUGCGCUCCUUGGUAUUCCUUGGAGCAUGCCUGUUUGAGUAUCAUGAAAU